UACGUAGGGUGCAAGCGUUGUCCGGAAUUAUUGGGCGUAGAGAGCUCGUAGGCGGCUUGUUGCGUCGGCUGUGAAAUCCCGGGGCUUAACUCCGGGCGUGCAGCCGAUACGGGCAGGCUAGAGUCCGGUAGGGGAGACUGGAAUUCCUGGUGUAGCGGUGAAAUGCGCAGAUAUCAGGAGGAACACCGGUGGCGAAGGCGGGUCUCUGGGCCGGUACUGACGCUAAGGAGCGAAAGCGUGGGGAGCGAACAGG
rnacentral:rRNA from 1 species